rnacentral:tRNA from 1 species
UCCCUGGUGGUCCAGUGGUUAAGACUCUGUACUGCUAGUGCAGGGGGCUCGGGUUCAAUACCUGGUCAGGGAA